rnacentral:tRNA from 1 species
GAGGUUCGCAAAGCUCAGUGGUAGAGCAUUCGACUGCAGAUCGAGAGGUCCUCGGUUCAAACCCGGGUGUCUUCU